AACAGAAGACAGUCGUGCUUGCACUGUAUAUCCUAGAAGAUUGGGAGCUGAAAUUUGGAUAGCAGACUGAGCGUUUUAGGGAAAACUUCAAGGACACUGAACCAGAAUCAACCAACACCAAUGAGACUAAUAGCAUUCUUCAAGUGGGAGAGAGCUAAUAAAGAGAGCUGUAACCGACCUGUAUGGUGACUGGAAUAAUAUUCAACAGGGUAACAAGCCUGAAGGUAUCAGGGCUUCGUCUGGGAUCCCAUUCUCCUCCGGGAUCCCCUCUCAUGAGGAGACACGUUCUGCUGCCUCAUUGUGGCAGCCUUGGGGGUAAGGAAUUGAGACCCACCGAGUUUGACAAAUAAACCCGGACUCUCAGCAAUGCAGGAUGAAAAGGCCUACAGAUACCACAGUGACCAGGUAACUUUGUGCACAAACCAAGGUAAGAAAAACCACAGGGGCAGUGAAGUACUUCCUUGGUGGUCAGGACAUCCUGGUGGUUGAAUGUGUGUGAAUGAGAUGCACAAUUGAGUAUGAAGUGAAAGCAGGGUAGUGCUGGAAACCUCCACUGGCAGAGAGGGGGUGGAGGAGUUAAGCCUGCAGGGAAAGGGUGCAAGAAAUCUCUAGUAGGAGAGGUUCAGCCCCACAGAGCCUCCAGGGCAAAGGGUGCAAGAAAUCUCUAGUAGAGAGGUUGAGCCCUACAGACCCAGAAAACUCAGGGAAACACCUAAAACUUUCAGGAUGGGAAAUAUCUCAAGCAAGGCAGAAAAUAAAAAGUACAAGAGAGACAAUAAAAUUCCCUCCGAUAGCCCAGUGAGGAAAUACAAGAGACCUAAGGGAAAUGAUAAUUAAAGGAAUUAGAGAAUUGGUGCCCCACACCCAGAUAUUACCAAAGCCUUUAAUAUAAAGUGGAGAAAGGAUAAAGGACCUAUGGGGUACUUAGGUAGGCUUAAGGAGCAAAUGAGAAAGUAUGCUGGCCCAGAAUUAGAAGAAUCCCUGGGACAAGAGAUGUUAAAACUCCACUUUGUCACCAGUAGUUGGCCAGAUAUUACAAGGAAAUUACAGAAGAUAGAAAAUUGGAAAGACCGUCCCAUAGAGGAACUUUUAAGAGAGGCCCAAAAGGUAUAUGUACGAAGGGAUGAGGAAAGGCAGAAGCAAAAGGCAAAAAUUAUGCUGUCCACCCUACAACAGGGGACUCUUCAACGGGGAGCCCAGGGAGAUAGAACCUGUAAGCCUUCCAAAUACCUGGCUGUCAGACCCUACACGGGAGGCAAAGGAAUCAAGACGGAAGGCCAGGAAAUAAAAAGAGGAAAAGGGCAAAACAAAUAUUUCAAAUGUGGAAAAAUAGGUCACUUUAAAAGAGAAUGCCCUAAGUGGGAAAAAGACAAGGAAGUCAUCCCACUUACGGCUUUUGAGGAAGAAUAGGGGGCUCUGUCUUUUCUAUCUUGAAUCCCACCAAGAGCUUUUGAUAAAUUUAGAGGUGGGACCCAACUCUAAGCUUAUUACUUUUUUUUAAUCGACUCAGGGGCGGCUCACUCCUCUGUUUGUCAUUCCCCACCUGGUGUAAUUUGUUCAGAAGAAGAACUCUUUAUUUCAGGAGUGAAGGGAGAACAAUUUAAAGCAAAAAUUUUAGAGGAAACAAAAGUCAUAUACAAAAAUAAAUCAGCUAACAUAAAAUUUUUGUUAAUACCAGAGGCAGGAACUAACUUACUAGGAAGAGAUUUAAUGCUAGAAUUAGGUUUAGGCCCCUAUGUUAACCAGAGAAAAGUUCUCAACUCCCUAAACUUACUCACUACUUAGAUGAAGAGUAUAUCCGUCCUAGUAUCUGGUCAAGGGAAGGCAAUGGAGGAAAGCUACUGGCUCUUCUAAUCCAUGUCAAAUUAAAAACUCCUGGGGAAGUAGUAAAAAGAAAACCAAACCCUACUCCUUUAAAAGCUAGAAUAGGUUUAAAAUCUAUAAUUGAAAGCCUUGUCCAUGAUGGACUCCUUGAACGCCGUAUGUCCUCUUAUAACACUCCCAUAUUGCCGGUAAGGAAACCAGAUGGGUCAUAUUGGUUAGUACAAGACCUAAGGGCUAUUAAUCAAAUAGUUCAAACCACCCAUGCUGUUGUUCCCAAUCCUUACACUCUUAUAAGUAGGAUCCCACACAACCACCAAUGGUUCUAUGGGUUAAAUUCUACUACUAACCUUCCUACAUUUGAAACAAAAGAUCAGUUCCUUAAAAACUAUAUAUUUGGUCUGUCUUCCACCUUUUCCUCCCUUAAGACUCAAGGUCUUCUAGCACAGACUCCACCCCUCGAAUUUCCAGUUCACCAGCGCCAACCUGGAGAUUACGUCCUUGUCAAAAGCUGGAAAGAGGGAAUGCUUGAGCCCUCCUGGGAAGGACCUUACCUGGUGCUCCUCACAACUGAGACUGCAGUCCAAACUGCUGAAAAGGGGUGGACGCAUCAUACGCGAGUCAAAAAGGCAUCGCUCUCUCCAAAGCCAUGGACCAUUGUCCCAGGGCCAACUCCCACCAGAGUAAUGUUAAAAAGAAAAGAUUAAUCUGUUUCUUCCUCCUUUUCCUCUUCUCCCCAGCUGUCUCACAUCUUAUUCCAAAGCCAAAGAAAGCUAGCCUCUUCAGAAAAGUACUCCCGCACCAAAUGAGCACAGGGCAGUCAUUGGAAGUUCUGUUUUGGUUGGGGAGAUGUGGUCUGGACAAUCAAGUAUCAAGGCUGGACCUCCCCAGGAGGAGGUUGCACUAACCUAAAGCCUUACAUCCACUUUACAAAAAAGACAACUCCCUCUAAUUGUCAACUCCAACAAUGUAACCCUGUGCAAAUCUCUAUUACUGUCACCACCUCUACCAACACUAACCCCACUCUAGGUUGCUUCUAUGGCAUAGGAGCUGAUGUUCCUGGAAUAGACCCUAUAGGAUCCUUUGAAAUGCACUUCAUUACUCCUCCACCCUCUUCCCUUCCUCCACCUUCUAAACCUUAUUCCAAUCAAACAGCUGUUCUUUACGUACCCAAUGACGAAACUAUAGUAAACAUUGUAGAAGUUAAGGAUUUAAAAGAAACCCUAGCCAUAGAAACUGGGUAUCAAGAUGUAAAUGCCUGGCUGGAAUAGAUUAAAUAUUCUGUUCACACCCUAAAUAAGAGUGAUUGUUACGCUUGUGCAACAGGCAGGCCAGAAACCCAAAUUGUUCGCUUUCCACUUGGAUGGUUCUCCAACCAACAGAGUAUAAGUUGUAUGGUAGCUCUCUUCCAAGACCCUGCAGCUUGGGGCAGUAAGGCAUGCUGAACUCUCUCGCUGCUAUUCUUGGACGUUUAAGGCCCUGUAGGUCAGCCCCCAAGGGCCUUCCGGCCUCUGGUUAGCAAUGUCAGUUUUACCUUGUGUCUCUCAUGACAAAGGGGAAAUUUAGCAUUCCUUGGAAGCCUAAUGGGAUGCAGUGAGUCCAAGCCUUUUCAGGAGCUAACCAAUCUGUCUGCCCUUGUUCAUCCCCUGGCGGAUGUAUGGUGGUAUUGCGGUGGACCACUGUUGGGUACUAUU